rnacentral:misc_RNA from 1 species
UGUGGGAGCGAGCCUGCUCGCGAUGACGUCGGAGCAUUCAGCAUCGAGGUGUCUGUACACCGCUAUCGCGAGCAGGCUCGCUCCCACA